ensembl:snRNA U6 U6 spliceosomal RNA
GUACUCACUCUGGAAGUAUAUGUACUAAAAUAGGAAUGAUAAAAAAUAAGAUUAUCAUGGCCUUUAUAUAAGGAUGGCAUGCAAAUUUAUGAAGCAGUCUAUAUUUUU